GACGAACGCUGGCGGCGUGCUUAACACAUGCAAGUCGAGCGGUAAGGCUCCUUCGGGAGUACACGAGCGGCGAACGGGUGAGUAACACGUGAGCAAUCUGCCCUUCACACGGGGAUAACCCUCGGAAACGAGAGCUAAUACCCGAUACGACCACUUCAGGCAUCUGAUGGUGGUGGAAAGUUCCGGCGGUGAAGGAUGAGCUCGCGGCCUAUCAGCUUGUUGGUGGGGGUACGGCCCACCAAGGCAACGACGGGUAGCCGGCCUGAGAGGGUGACCGGCCAGACUGGGGCGGAGAGACGGCCCGGACUCCUACGGGAAGCAGCAGUGGAGAAUAUUGGACAAUGGGCGAAAGCCUGAUCCAUCAACGCCGCGUGAGGGAUGACGGCCUUCUGGUUGUAAACCUCUUUCAGCAGGGACGAAGCGCAAGUGACGGUACCGGCAGAAGAAGCACCGGCCAACUACGUGCCAGCAGCCGCGGUAA
rnacentral:rRNA from 1 species